AAUCCCCCAUGGGUACUGAGGGAUGACUGUACUUAAAAAAUAGGCACACAAUCUCAUGAGUUAUGGUCACUUACAUACGAAGGCUUUUCUGGUUGUAAUUGUUGUUUUGUCAUGAAGAUAUUAAAGCCUUGGUUUCAGAUAAUUUUUAGGGAAUUAUUUCUUUUCUUUUCUUUUCUUUUUUUUUUUGAGAUGGAAUCUCCCUCUGUCGCCCAGGCUGGAGUGCAGUGGCACCAUCUCGGCUUACCGCAACCUCCGCCUCCUGGGUUCAGACAAUACUGCUGCCUUGGCCUCCUGAGUAGCUGGGAUUACAGGUGUGCACCACCAUGCCUGGAUAAUUUUUUUGUAUUUUUAGUAGAGAUGGGGUUUCACCAUAUUGGUCAGGCUGGUCUCGAACUCCUGACCUUGUGAUCUGCCCGCUUUGGCCUUCCAAAGUGCUGGGAUUACAGGCGUGAGCCACCGUGCCCGGUCGAGAAUUACUUCUUUAAAAAGUGUGGUGAAUGUUUGCCCCACCAGGAAAAUCCUAGAAUUUAGCUUAAUCUUUCUGUCCAAUGUUCAGUUUUAAGCUCUACAAUUCUGGGAUAAACAGAAAUUAAAGUGUCAUAUUUUCAAAAGUUCACUCUUAGACAUCUCCUUCCAAUCUAGUUUUGAAAACAAUUUUGGAAGUUUUUCUGUGUAGGCUCCCUGCCCCUCCACUUCCUACACUACCUCACUGUCCAGUAAAACUUUUUGCUAUGAUUUGACACAGGAAUCAAGGUUGCUAAGAGACCACCUGUGCUGAAUGCACUUUGUUCUGGCAAGAGCAGAAAACUGAGAAGCCGUGUUACCUACCACUACCUGGGAUUAAUUCAGGGAGCGGGAGAAUUCUGGAUAUG
rnacentral:sRNA from 1 species